ACGGGGUGCAGCAGGCGCGAAAACUUUGCAAUGUGCGAAAGCACGACAAGGUUAAUCCGAGUGGUUUCUGCUAAAGAAACCUUUUGCUAGUCCUAGAAACACUAGUGAAUAAGGGGUGGGCAAGUUCUGGUGUCAGCCGCCGCGGUAAAACCAGCACCUCAAGUGGUCAGGAUGAUUAUUGGGCCUAAAGCAUCCGUAGCUCGUUUUGUAAGUUUUCGGUUAAAUCCAUACGCUUAACGUAUGGGCUGCCGGGAAUACUGCAUAACUAGGAAGUGGGAGAGGUAGACGGUACUCGGUAGGAAGGGGUAAAAUCCUUUGAUCUAUUGAUGACCACCUGUGGCGAAGGCGGUCUACCAGAACACGUUCGACGGUGAGGGAUGAAAGCUGGGGGAGCAAACCGGAUUAGAUACCCGGGUAGUCCCAGCUGUAAACUAUGCAAACUCAGUGAUGCAUUGGCUUGUGGCCAAUGCAGUGCUGCAGGGAAGCCGUUAAGUUUGCCGCCUGGGAAGUACGUACGCAAGUAUGAAACUUAAAGGAAUUGGCGGGGGAGCAGAGA
rnacentral:rRNA from 1 species